UCAACUUUGUAUACCCUUAAUGUUUAUUAUUUUAUUUUUUUCAAUUAACGUUUUACCUGACUGGCCUUGACUCGUAAUUUCAGCAUUCACGCUCGAUAGUAUGUAACUAUCACUAGGAUAUCACUAUUAGUUCUAAAUGCAUAAUUAUGCUAGAAAUUUUUUUCCGCUCAAUUUCUGACACUUGAAAUGCAGUAGUAAAUCCCCAGGCUCAAGCUUCAAACUUCAUGGAUGCAAACAGCGCGCUUUUCGACACCUCCCGCUUUUUUCGCGUCAGUCUGCAUGACUUGUGUGAAUCGUUCAGUUCUGAGAGGUUCUGAUUAUAAUUUCACAAAGUCAUCUGAAGUCAUUCCAUAGCUUAAUCUGAGGGACAGAAUUAUAUUUAGAUCAUUAAAUUACAGUUUACGGAAACAUGUCUUCCCUCUCCCUGCGGCUGAAAUCAUUCUCCAUUUUAUAUUCAAACCGCGCGCCUCGUCCGUUACAGCAGGAUCGAGCAGGAUACACGCUUCAGGGAAGCAGCCACCAAUCAGUUGUUCCUGCUGUGCAAAUUAUUUGGAAUCUCCUGCCAGUGAUCAUGGCUUGUGGAUAAUGAGGUUGAAGAACUGGAGCAGACAACCAUGAUGAUCUUUAUCACUGGGAAAGAGGAUCAUCUCCAUCCACCUAAAGACAUUUAAAUUAUUGUCGAAGGAAAAGAGGUCCUGAACGAGUUGCCAUCGGUUGCUGGGCUCAUAUAUACACUAAACCUAAAAUAUCCAAAAAGGCUACAGUUCACCUUUGAAUUUGUGCAAAAUGUCCUGAUGGAGCUUGAUGGAAUAAAGAUGACCCCAAAAUUCACUAGACUGACCACCCAGCUGUACAGGGAUUAAUUGUAUAAUUGCAUUAUUGUUACAUUUUAUUGUGUUUUUACAGCCAAGUCUUUAGAUCCUUUUAAUAAAAAGGUUGUACUAACAAGGCUGCAUUUUCACUGCAGCAUUUACAAAUGUGGCUGCCCAAGUUCGAUGGCUACCAGGUACAAAGGUUGAAUAAGGCCAAGUCUUAUGAACAACUGAAGAGACUGAUUGCAGUGUUUCAAGUAUUUCUGCUGUCAAUCUUCAUACAUUUGAAGCAAAUAUUCAAUGUUGUGAGUUUAUUGAACAAUAAAAAUGUUUUC